CAGUCGCCGCGGUAACACGAAGGGGGCUAGCGUUGUUCGGAUUUACUGGGCGUAAAGCGCACGUAGGCGGACUUUUAAGUCAGGGGUGAAAUCCCGGGGCUCAACCCCGGAACUGCCUUUGAUACUGGAAGUCUUGAGUAUGGUAGAGGUGAGUGGAAUUCCGAGUGUAGAGGUGAAAUUCGUAGAUAUUCGGAGGAACACCAGUGGCGAAGGCGGCUCACUGGACCAUUACUGACGCUGAGGUGCGAAAGCGUGGGGAGCAAACAGGAUUAGAUACCCCUGUAGUCCCUGUCUCUUAUAC
rnacentral:rRNA from 1 species